rnacentral:rRNA from 1 species
GACGAAAAAUGAAUACCAAGUCUCAAGAGUGAACACGUAAUUCAUUACGAAGUUUAAUUCAUUGAGCAUCAAACUUUUAAAUUGAAGAGUUUGAUCAUGGCUCAGAUUGAACGCUGGCGGCAGGCCUAACACAUGCAAGUCGAACGGUAACAGGAAGCAGCUUGCUGCUUUGCUGACGAGUGGCGGACGGGUGAGUAAUGUCUGGGAAACUGCCUGAUGGAGGGGGAUAACUACUGGAAACGGUGGCUAAUACCGCAUAACGUCGCAAGACCAAAGAGGGGGACCUUCGGGCCUCUUGCCAUCAGAUGUGCCCAGAUGGGAUUAGCUUGUUGGUGAGGUAACGGCUCACCAAGGCGACGAUCCCUAGCUGGUCUGAGAGGAUGACCAGCCACACUGGAACUGAGACACGGUCCAGACUCCUACGGGAGGCAGCAGUGGGGAAUAUUGCACAAUGGGCGCAAGCCUGAUGCAGCCAUGCCGCGUGUAUGAAGAAGGCCUUCGGGUUGUAAAGUACUUUCAGCGGGGAGGAAGGUGUUGUGGUUAAUAACCGCAGCAAUUGACGUUACCCGCAGAAGAAGCACCGGCUAACUCCGUGCCAGCAGCCGCGGUAAUACGGAGGGUGCAAGCGUUAAUCGGAAUUACUGGGCGUAAAGCGCACGCAGGCGGUCUGUCAAGUCGGAUGUGAAAUCCCCGGGCUCAACCUGGGAACUGCAUUCGAAACUGGCAGGCUUGAGUCUUGUAGAGGGGGGUAGAAUUCCAGGUGUAGCGGUGAAAUGCGUAGAGAUCUGGAGGAAUACCGGUGGCGAAGGCGGCCCCCUGGACAAAGACUGACGCUCAGGUGCGAAAGCGUGGGGAGCAAACAGGAUUAGAUACCCUGGUAGUCCACGCCGUAAACGAUGUCUACUUGGAGGUUGUGCCCUUGAGGCGUGGCUUCCGGAGCUAACGCGUUAAGUAGACCGCCUGGGGAGUACGGCCGCAAGGUUAAAACUCAAAUGAAUUGACGGGGGCCCGCACAAGCGGUGGAGCAUGUGGUUUAAUUCGAUGCAACGCGAAGAACCUUACCUGGUCUUGACAUCCACGGAAGUUUUCAGAGAUGAGAAUGUGCCUUCGGGAACCGUGAGACAGGUGCUGCAUGGCUGUCGUCAGCUCGUGUUGUGAAAUGUUGGGUUAAGUCCCGCAACGAGCGCAACCCUUAUCCUUUGUUGCCAGCGGUCCGGCCGGGAACUCAAAGGAGACUGCCAGUGAUAAACUGGAGGAAGGUGGGGAUGACGUCAAGUCAUCAUGGCCCUUACGACCAGGGCUACACACGUGCUACAAUGGCGCAUACAAAGAGAAGCGACCUCGCGAGAGCAAGCGGACCUCAUAAAGUGCGUCGUAGUCCGGAUUGGAGUCUGCAACUCGACUCCAUGAAGUCGGAAUCGCUAGUAAUCGUGGAUCAGAAUGCCACGGUGAAUACGUUCCCGGGCCUUGUACACACCGCCCGUCACACCAUGGGAGUGGGUUGCAAAAGAAGUAGGUAGCUUAACCUUCGGGAGGGCGCUUACCACUUUGUGAUUCAUGACUGGGGUGAAGUCGUAACAAGGUAACCGUAGGGGAACCUGCGGUUGGAUCACCUCCUUACCUUAAAGAA